UACGUAGGGUGCAAGCGUUGUCCGGAAUUAUUGGGCGUAAAGAGCUCGUAGGCGGUCUGUCGCGUCGAAUGUGAAAACCCCGGGGCUCAACCCCCGGGCCUGCAUUCGAUACGGGCAGACUAGAGUUCGGUAGGGGAGUCUGGAAUUCCUGGUGUAGCGGUGAAAUGCGCAGAUAUCAGGAGGAACACCGGUGGCGAAGGCGGGACUCUGGUCUGUUACUGACGCUGAGGCGCGAAAGCGUGGGGGAGCAAACAGG
rnacentral:rRNA from 1 species